rnacentral:lncRNA from 1 species
GACUACAAGCAAUCGGAACGCGUUAAGAGGUGGGUUGUGUUUACCGAAGCGACUAGGUCGCCUUCAUGCCAAAGUGUAGUGUAUUUCACUAUUGAUGCAUGGUGGUAGUAAAAAUGCUAAGUAAGAAUGCAUGAUAAAGAUGCUAAGAAAUGUAUGCAUGUGAUAGAUGCUAAGUAAUGCAUGUGAAAUGUGCCAAGUAAUGAACAUAUAAGUUGUAUGCUAAGAAAUGCAUGUGGUCAUGAUAGGAAAUGCUAAAGGAAUGUGUAUUGACAUAAUGUAAGAGCACUAAACCAAUGCAUGUUGACAUGUUGUAGAAAUGUUAGAUGAAGCAUGAGUUAAAUGCUAAAGGCAUGUAUGAGAUGUAUGUUAAAUAAACAUAUGAGCUAGAUGCAUGAGCUAGAUGAUAUACAAGUGCAUGAAUGAGAUACUAAUAAAGAAUGUAUGCAUGAUUCCCAAUGUGAGAAUAUGUUAGAAUAACAUGAAGGUUGAACUUGAGUCAAUGAACUCUAAGUAAAGUAAGGAACUCAAUAAAUGUGGCAUGUAAAGAAUCCUAAGUAUAAAUAAGUAGGAUGAUGAGUGGCAUUAAACCUAGUGUCGUUGAACAUAGGUUAUUCACGAGUGGCAUGUCAAGUAUAAUUCCUAGGUGUGGACAACUAGGAAAACAAGAACAUGAGUGGCAUUGAACCUAGAGUCAAGUAAACCUAGGUUGUGAACAUAGUGACAUGGAACCUAGAGUCAAAUGAACCUAGGUGGUAAAGAAUAUUGGACCUAGUGUUAAUGAACCUAGGCUAAGAAGAUAAUGACGUUGAACCUAAUGUAUCAACUUAGGUUGAGUAAAGGCUUGGACCUAGAUAGGUCGAUACUAUAGGGUGAGACCAACCCUUGAGAGAUGUAAAGUGGAUUCCGGAAUCCCUGCUGCUAGUGCAGCGGCUGCUAGUGCAGCAUACAAGCUCGAUAGUUCUUGGCCGCGGGUGCAUGUGGCGUGUUCCUCUCCCACCGGAAGAACUUCGAGGCUUGUUAAUGAGCAAGAACAAUGAGCGCUAGGGUGCAUGUGGCAUGUUCCUCUCCCUAUCGGGGAUCUCGGCUGCGGGUGUAUGCGGCAUGUUCCUCUCCCACCGGGGGAUCCCUGACCACGGGUGUACGCAGCUCUGGGCGACCCGUUGGGCGAUGUGGUUUGUGAUUGAAGGCUGAGGUGUAUGUGAGAGUUCCUUCACCUCGAGCCGGACAGAGCGCGGACUAUCCGCAGUUGAUUGACUCAAGACCGAGUCGGAUGGCAAAGUUGGCUAAGGUAAAGUAACCUUAGGAAAGAAAGGCUAAUGUGUAUAAUAUUACUAAGGUGUGAGUACCCUUAGUAAAGCGUAAAGAAUAAAGAAUGAAGAAUCAAGAAUAAGAAAAGGCUAAUGCUAAAGAAUGACAAGUAAUAAAGAAUAAAGAAGGGUUAAUGCUAAAGAAUAGCUAGUAAAGUAAAGAAUGAGUAAAAGUAAAGAAUGGAUAAGAAUAAAGUGUAGAAGCAAUUAAUCUACUAUAUGAGUUGCAUAAUUUGCAU